rnacentral:tRNA from 1 species
GCGGUUGUCGAUCGGCAUGGGCGCGAUUUUGGCAUAUUCGACCGGUCAGCCCGACCGGUGCUGCCUGCCGGUUCAGACCGGCCAGCCGGCC